AGAGUUUGAUCCUGGCUCAGGAUGAACGCUGGCGGUAUGCUUAACACAUGCAAGUCGAACGAGGUUCUUCGGAACCUAGUGGCGGACGGGUGAGUAACGCGUGAGAAUCUAGCUUCAGGUCUGGGACAACAGUUGGAAACGACUGCUAAUACCAGAUGUGCCGAGAGGUGAAAGGCUAGCUGCCUGAAGAUGAGCUCGCGUCUGAUUAGCUAGUUGGUAGAGUAAGAGCCUACCAAGGCGACGAUCAGUAGCUGGUCUGAGAGGAUGAUCAGCCACACUGGGACUGAGACACGGCCCAGACUCCUACGGGAGGCAGCAGUGGGGAAUUUUCCGCAAUGGGCGAAAGCCUGACGGAGCAAUACCGCGUGAGGGAGGAAGGCUCUUGGGUUGUAAACCUCUUUUCUCAGGGAAGAACACAAUGACGGUACCUGAGGAAUAAGCAUCGGCUAACUCCGUGCCAGCCGCCGCGGUAAUAC
rnacentral:rRNA from 1 species